CCCCUUCCAAGGCACGGCUGUUCAGAACUGUGAUCCAGGAAGGUGGAUUAUUCAGAACAGGAGGCCCGGAAUGCAGUGUCUUGUCUGAGACAGAGCUUUGCUCUUCCUUUUGCAGGCCUCUGACUUGUGGAAUACAAGUUGAAAGACAAGAAGUUUAGAGAGGAGAGUGAACAAGAGAACCCACUCCACCCCUAGCACCCUACCAAGGCCAAGGUCACUGCAAACUCUGGCUUCAGCAUGUGCAAGUACAUGCCAAAGAGGGCAACAGCUGAGCCAAAGGGCUAUUUUUAACAUUUCUAAACCACACUGGUUGCAUGCCUUAGAAGAUGAGCUACAUAAUGAUUCUCUGUUGGAAGGUUCUUUUUUUGCUUAAAAAAAAAAAGAUUCACUUUUCUAAGGGCAUCUACACUGAAGGGCAGCGGAUAAAUUCUAAAAUUCAUCUUCUUGUUUUUAAACAUUUAGUGAAAUAACAACAGUAUGGUAAUUAUUGAUUUCAAACUUAGAACUUGCCCUGUUUGUAGAUGGAAUUCACCUGAAACAUUCUAAUAUGACCUAUGUUCUAUUGGUUCCAACCAUGCACUAAAUAUGCAGGGAUGUUCCAAGCUGGUUUUUAGGGGUGCCCAGGGAUUCCUUCCGAAUGCUCACAAACGCAUCGACUUAGUUGCCAAAUGGGGUCAGCCGGUCCUACAGCUUGAUUUCCUGUGUCCUGGCCCUGUUACUGGUCUGACCUCAUGUCUCCCUUUCCCAGGCCCAUUCCUACCCUGGCGCACCUGCUGCUCCUGUUGCUGUCUCUCUGAGAGCCCACCCCUUCCCGGUUAGUAGACCCCUGCACCUGCAGCCUCCUCGGUGACCUCUGCCAUCCUGGGCUCGCAGACUUCUGUUGUGAAAAGAGGGAGGAGAUGAACUGGGUUUAAGAGCUGGCUGCAAUGUUAAGCUAAGAAAGUGGCAAAAAAUCACCCAAUGCAGAGAGUAGUUUUUAAACUGAGGGUCGGAUGGCUCUGUGACCUUAAGGGUCAGCUUCCAUGCUGGAAGGAGCGAGCGCUGGAGACAGCGUGCACCUGGAAUCUCUUUAUUUUUAUAGGGGGACUAACAAAGGAGUUUCAUAGAAUGUUCUUCACCAAAUAAGGCAGGGAUAAGGUUUCAAGGGUGGAGUCUUGCUUCCUGAUGUCUUGUGGUCAGCAGAUUGAUUGACAUCUUGGCAAGUCACACCCAUCUCAGAUGCUGGGUGGGACCUUAGGCAGAACUUGAGGGGGAGGAGCACCG
rnacentral:lncRNA from 1 species